UGCCGCUGCAGCGCCAGGUACGUGAACUUGUACGGAGCCUCCGUCUGCACCAUUCCCCAGUGCUGCCGCCAAACCAGCUGGAUCGUCUUCGGGACGUCGGUGUCGCAGUCCAGCCCUGCGGACAAGCGCGCUUGGGGAGGGGCUACGGAUGGGGGGAAGGUGCCGGCAGGCAGGGGCGGGGCUGCUGAUGAGGGGCGGGGCUUGCCGGUAGCGGUGGGGUCGUCCUGAGGGGUGGGGUCGUCCUGAGGGGUGGGGUCGUCCGGAGGGGUGGGGUCGCCCGGAGGGGUGGGGCUAUAGCAGGGCAGGGCGGGGGGACCCAGAGUGGAGCGGCUCGCCCUGCCUGCGGAUGACGUCCACCAGGAUGUCAAUCACGAUGAUGGUGCCCGUGCAUCCGAUGCCCCCACUGAGGACAAACUAGGCGGCCUUUGACGAGAGUGGGGGGCGGGGGCGGGGGCGCCCCCGCCCACCCGAUGGCUCCGCCCUCGUCGUCCCGCGUGGCCCCGCCCCGCCGCACCUGCACCUGCACAGCCCGCGUGGCCCCGCCCCGCCGCACCUGCAUCUGCACAGCCCGCGUGGGCCCGCCCCGCCGCAGCUGAAGUGCACCACCAUGGGCCCGGCCCGCGGCUUGCUGCUCUGGGCCCGGUUCACCUCGUCCCGGAAGCCGAGGACGCCGGCGGGAUCGGCCCGGACGCCGUAGUCCGGCCAGCCGAAGUACUGGAAGUGCUGCACCGUACGCUGUGGCUCCUCCUGAGCGGGGCAAGCGGCCGACAGCAGGCACGCUCCACAGCCGCCAGGCUCACCUGGCCCGGCCGCCACACCUGCAGCUCCCGCACGCAGUAGCCCUGGGCCUGGCCCUUGCCGAGGACGCGCAUGUGCACACGGCCGAACUCUUGGCUGCCGGGCAGCUCUGGCCAGUCCCGGAAACACUUGUUCCGAGGGGAGCGCUUUGCAUCAGCCUUGCUGGCAGCACCUCGGCACCCCGCCCCUGCGACCUGCAGAGACGCAGCUACCUAAGAGGGAAGGGCCCGCUGUCCUGUGAUCACGUGACUUGCUUCACCUUGUCAAUCACUUAGAAGACUGACCCUCCUUAUCCUGCCCCCUUGUCUUGUAUGCAAUAAAUAUCAGCGAGCCCAGCCGUUCAGGGCCACUACCGGUCUCCGUGUCUUUGUGGUAGUGGUCCCCGGGGCCCAGCUGUUUUCUCUU
rnacentral:lncRNA from 10 species